rnacentral:rRNA from 1 species
AAUACCGUAUAACAAUCAAAACCGCAUGGUUUUGAUUUGAAAGGCGCUUUCGGGUGUCGCUGAUGGAUGGACCCGCGGUGCAUUAGCUAGUUGGUGAGGUAACGGCUCACCAAGGCCACGAUGCAUAGCCGACCUGAGAGGGUGAUCGGCCACAUUGGGACUGAGACACGGCCCAAACUCCUACGGGAGGCAGCAGUAGGGAAUCUUCGGCAAUGGACGAAAGUCUGACCGAGCAACGCCGCGUGAGUGAAGAAGGUUUUCGGAUCGUAAAACUCUGUUGUUAGAGAAGAACAAGGAUGAGAGUAACUGUUCAUCCCUUGACGGUAUCUAACCAGAAAGCCACGGCUAACUACGUGCCAGCAGCCGCGGUAAUACGUAGGUGGCAAGCGUUGUCCGGAUUUAUUGGGCGUAAAGCGAGCGCAGGCGGUUUCUUAAGUCUGAUGUGAAAGCCCCCGGCUCAACCGGGGAGGGUCAUUGGAAACUGGGAGACUUGAGUGCAGAAGAGGAGAGUGGAAUUCCAUGUGUAGCGGUGAAAUGCGUAGAUAUAUGGAGGAACACCAGUGGCGAAGGCGGCUCUCUGGUCUGUAACUGACGCUGAGGCUCGAAAGCGUGGGGAGCAAACAGGAUUAGAUACCCUGGUAGUCCACGCCGUAAACGAUGAGUGCUAAGUGUUGGAGGGUUUCCGCCCUUCAGUGCUGCAGCUAACGCAUUAAGCACUCCGCCUGGGGAGUACGACCGCAAGGUUGAAACUCAAAGGAAUUGACGGGGGCCCGCACAAGCGGUGGAGCAUGUGGUUUAAUUCGAAGCAACGCGAAGAACCUUACCAGGUCUUGACAUCCUUUGACCACUCUAGAG